rnacentral:tRNA from 1 species
GCCAACAUAGUUUUGAUCAAAACACUAAGUUGUGGGCCUAGUAACAAGGAAACAUACUCCUUUGUUGGCCC